CAGAGGUGGAAGGUGAAGAAAUGUUGUUUCCACAAAGAGAGUUGUCAUUCCUUUGUGAUGCAUACCUUAAAGUCAUCAGAGACUGAGAAGCUGAGAACAUACACCUUGACACUGAACUUGACAGGCAAACAACUGCUGGAUGAUAAACCGAUGACUUUUUGAUAGGAAGGAUCUGACAAUGAAAAUGACCUUUCUACUGUAUUGCAGCCAGCUCAGAGCAACACAGAGGCAUAAUUACAAAUGCCCAGAAGUAAAAUACUGACAUCUUUUCCUAUUUUGCUUCGUGAGAAUUCAGUAAAAAGCAAAACCAGGAGGGGAUCUAGCUUCAGUUUUGACCUUGAAAAUCAGGGGAAGACAGAGAAGGAAGAGCAAGAUGAUUAUCCACAGGGAAUACAAGGAAGCUGCCAAUGGUCACAGAAUGUCUUAGUUUUCUCCAGAUUCCAGCUUCUCCUGUUUUUGUUGCUUUGUUUUUUUUUUAUUUGCCUGCUUAAUAACAGCCUUAUGUGUAUCUCUUAGAGAGGCAGAAAAUGUCUUUAAAAUAGUAAAUGAACUACUUAACUGUGGCUUUGCCAGUUUUCUCAUAGCAUAGCAUAUUUAAUGUUUCUCUUUAGACUGAAGAUCCUGAGAGGAUGGGGGAAUGACAAGGCAUGAUUUUUAAUUUCCAUUAGAAAUAGUUUCUUAUCAUUGAUAGAUGUAGAGAAAAUGCACUUACAAGCAUGUUUCAAAAGCCCUCUACAGGCUGAGAAACUGGACGGACAGGAAUCUAAAGUUUAUUACUUUAUUUAAUCCCAAGGUAUG
rnacentral:lncRNA from 1 species